rfam:Loxodonta africana cont3.46468, whole genome shotgun sequence.
UUGCUGGGCUAAAUAGGGGGCUGUUUUAUUAUGGUCUUCAUUUUAUUGUUACAAAACC